CGUUUCUCCAAUUGUCCUCCCUUUUCUACACAAGCAGACACACUCUACCCCACCAACACACAUGACAUGUAAAUUUGUUUUGGGCAGAACCGCAAUUUGACUGAGUUAGGGUGAUUGGCCCAAAUUCCUGUUUAUGAGUACAUGCCAAAAUUUCAAGGAAACAAGCCUGAACAUCCUCCUUUUGCCUUGUCAUUUGGAGUGAAAAGGGGAAUGGAAAAGUCUGUUAAUUUUUUCCUUUUUAUUUUUGGGUGGGGACAGAUAAGCUGCUUAGUUUGCCAUGAUGGAGAAGAAGUUUGCCCAAUCAUGUGGACUAUAUCUUAUUUUGUCCAAUCAAGAAGAAAAGUAUGAUUGAUGGUUAAACAGCCACUAAAUGUUUAUUUAAUUCACAGAUCAAGGGACAACUAACCAACAGAGGGUGGGAAGCUGAGGAAGAGCAGUAAAAUCAUCUAUACUUCCAAGCAGGAUUCAUCCAGACACUGACUGCAAGUACUGAAGGAGACAGACGAGCAGUGUUGGUGUCAGGGUUCUUUACUAAAGUGGGAAUUUAAAGUGAAUUUAACAUUUCAGGCCAAAAUAGCCAAAAUGCAAUUUUAGUAGCGCACUCUUGUAAGCAAGACUCAUCAUAUGGGAAUAUUCCCAGACAAGUCUCUUGAGAGAAGUUAAAUUAUUGAUUAAUAAUAACAAUACUAAUAAAUAUCUGUGAUUAGCAUUAGUCCCGUCUAACUCAAAUUCAGCCUAAAUCUGAGUUUUACGAUCACUUCUCCGUUCUGAGUCCAGGAGAAUGGCACUUUUCCAGUUUGUCCUGUUUCUGUCUGCAGCGGAUAAUCUGUCAAUAACUGUUUCUGCGGCGUUGCUUGCCGCAUGGCACUUAAUCUUAACCUGCCAAAGAGUAAGUGACAUGUGGCACGAAACACGUUGGGUGAUUAUACUGUGAAAAACUUUUUGGAUUUAUGCUGCUAUG